AACGACUCUCGGCAACGGAUAUCUCGGCUCUCGCAUCGAUGAAGAACGUAGCGAAAUGCGAUACUUGGUGUGAAUUGCAGAAUCCCGUGAACCAUCGAGUCUUUGAACGCAAGUUGCGCCCGAAGCCUUUUGGCCGAGGGCACGCCUGCCUGGGCGUC
rnacentral:rRNA from 6 species